rnacentral:lncRNA from 1 species
UCAAUCCUCAACAAAGGAUACAUGUUCUUGACGGUGACUUGGUUGAGUUCUUUGUAAUCAAUAUAUAACCACUAAGUUUCAUUCAUCUCUUUCAUAAACAACAAAAGUGCACUCCAUGGAGGAAUACUGGGGCAAAUGAUUCCUUUAUCCAAGUGUUCUUGCAACUAUUUCUAUAAUUCUUCUAAUUCAACUCUCCCUAUUCGAUAACGAGUAAUAGAAAUAGGCUGAGUGUUGGGCAGGAGAUUAAU